rnacentral:rRNA from 1 species
AGCGAACGCUGGCGGCAGGCCUAACACAUGCAAGUCGAACGAACCUUUCGAGGUUAGUGGCGGACGGGUGAGUAACACGUGGGAACGUGCCUUUAGGUUCGGAAUAACUCAGGGAAACUUGUGCUAAUACCGAAUGUGCCCUUCGGGGGAAAGAUUUAUCGCCUUUAGAGCGGCCCGCGUCUGAUUAGCUAGUUGGUUGAGGUAAUGGCUCACCAAGGCGACGAUCAGUAGCUGGUCUGAGAGGAUGAUCAGCCACAUUGGGACUGAGACACGGCCCAAACUCCUACGGGAGGCAGCAGUGGGGAAUCUUGCGCAAUGGGCGAAAGCCUGACGCAGCCAUGCCGCGUGAAUGAUGAAGGUCUUAGGAUUGUAAAAUUCUUUCACCGGGGACGAUAAUGACGGUACCCGGAGAAGAAGCCCCGGCUAACUUCGUG